rnacentral:rRNA from 1 species
AACGGCGAGUGAAGCGGCAACAGCUCAAAUUUGAAAGCUGGCCUUCGGGUCCGCAUUGUAAUUUGUAGAGGAUGCUUUGGGGCAGCCGCCUGUCUAAGUUCCUUGGAACAGGACGUCAUAGAGGGUGAGAAUCCCGUAUGUGACAGGAAGUGGCACCCUAUGUAAAGCUCCUUCGACGAGUCGAGUUGUUUGGGAAUGCAGCUCUAAAUGGGAGGUAAAUUUCUUCUAAAGCUAAAUACCGGCGAGAGACCGAUAGCGCACAAGUAGAGUGAUCGAAAGAUGAAAAGCACUUUGGAAAGAGAGUUAAAAAGCACGUGAAAUUGUUGAAAGGGAAGCGCUUGCAAUCAGACUUGUCUGGGUCGUUCGGCCGGUCUUCUGACCGGUUUACUCGGCCCGUGACAGGCCAGCAUCAGUUUCGGCGGUCGGAUAAAGGCCCUGGGAAUGUGGCUCUGCCUUCGGGGAGAGUGUUAUAGCCCGGGGUGUAAUACGGCCAGCCGGGACUGAGGUCCGCGCUUCGGCUAGGAUGCUGGCGUAAUGGUUGUAAGCGGCCCGUCUUGAAACACGGACCAAGGAGUCUAACAUCUAUGCGAGUGUUCGGGUGUCAAACCCCUACGCGUAAUUAAAGUGAACGGAGGUGGGAACCGCAAGGUGCACCAUCGACCGAUCCAGAUGUCUUCGGAUGGAUUUGAGUAAGAGCAUAGCUGUUGGGACCCGAAAGAUGGUGAACUAUGCCUGAAUAGGGUGAAGCCAGAGGAAACUCUGGUGGAGGCUCGCAGCGGUUCUGACGUGCAAAUCGAUCGUCAAAUUUGGGUAUAGGGGCGAAAGACUAAUCGA